GAAAUGCGAUAAGUAGUGUGAAUUGCAGAAUUCAGUGAAUCAUCGAAUCUUUGAACGCACAUUGCGCCCUUUGGUAUUCCUUAGGGCAUGCCUGUUCGAGCGUCAUCUAAACCUUCAAGCCCUGCUUGGUGUUGGGUGCCUGUCCCGCCUCCGCGCGCGGACUCACCUCAAAUCCAUUGGCGGCCCCCGCGUCGGCCACGAGCGCAGCAGAAACGCGAACUCGUGAGCCCGUCCAGGCGGCUCCCAGAAGCUACACCCACCCAGUUUGACCUCGGAUCAGGUAGGGAUACCCGCUGAACUUAAGC
rnacentral:misc_RNA from 1 species